GAAUGCAGACUGCCCAAGGUACAGUUCAAGGGCUCCAUCUACUGGGUUCGUCGCUUCAUGCGACGCAAAGGAUUCGCACUUCGCCGGCGCACAUCUAUCUGUCAGAAGCUGCCGGAGGCAUACGAGGACAAGUUGGUCGAAUUCCAGCGCUAUAUCAUCCGUCUCCGGCAGCGGCAUGGCUACAUGCUUGGACAGAUAGGCAACGCCGAUGAAACGCCGGUGUGGUUCGACAUGCCGUCGUCGACCACAGUGUGCGAACGUGGCGCGAAGGAAGUGAAACUUCUUUCGGCGGGGAAC
rnacentral:lncRNA from 1 species